rnacentral:rRNA from 1 species
AGAGUUUGAUCCUGGCUCAGGACGAACGCUGGCGGCGCGCCUAACACAUGCAAGUCGAACGGUGAAGAGGAGCUUGCUCCUCGGAUCAGUGGCGGACGGGUGAGUAACACGUGAGCAACCUGCCUUUCAGUGGGGGACAACAGUUGGAAACGACUGCUAAUACCGCAUAACGUGCCGGAAGGGCAUCCUUCUGGCACCAAAGAUUUAUCGCUGAAAGAUGGGCUCGCGCCUGAUUAGAUAGUUGGUGAGGUAACGGCCCACCAAGUCGACGAUCAGUAGCCGGACUGAGAGGUUGAUCGGCCACAUUGGGACUGAGACACGGCCCAGACUCCUACGGGAGGCAGCAGUGGGGAAUAUUGGACAAUGGGGGAAACCCUUAUCCAGCGACGCCGCGUGAGGGAAGAAGGUUUUCGGAUUGUAAACCUCUGUCAGUGGGGACGAUAAUGACGGUACCCACGGAGGAAGCCACGGCUAACUACGUGCCAGCAGCCGCGGU